GAAAAAAAAUCAAGGUGAACUGAAGAAAAUAAGUCUUUCCCCAAAGGAGGUAGAAGAUGGGGAAGAUGAGAUGUCAGAAGCUAAGGACAAUGGCAGUAGAGAUGAGGUUCUUGUCCCUCAUAAGAAUUGCAGGAAGAAUACAACUGUCCCAGGAAGGAAAGGGGAGGAAAAGUCUCUGGCUCCUGUGUUUGCUGAGAAGUUGAUAUCACCAAGCAGGAGGGGAGCCAAGCUCAAGGACUGUGAGAGCCACCAGGAGAAUGAAGACAGGAACAGUGAGUUGGACCAGGAUGAGGAAGAUAAAGAAUCCUUCUUCAGGGGGUUCCUGAUCAAAAUGCCAAAACACUUUUGAUCAAGAACCUGCCUGACAAAGUCAGUCCACAUGAAUUAAAAGAAGUGUUUGAGGAUGCUUUUCAAAUCAGAUUAGUGAGCAAAGAUGGGAUGAGUAAAAGGUGUAUUUUGCACCUUGUACUGAAUAAGAAUGUAUGUCUACUGGAUACAAACAUAAUGGAAUUUCCAUACAUUCUCUCAAGUCUUUUAUGCCUGAUUUUAGAGAAGGAAAGAGUAGUUAUCCAGAUUUCUGCCAGUAGGCAUAAAAAGCCGAAGGGGACAUCAUAAAGGGACAGCCAAAACUCCUGGAAAACUGUAGUGGUGCUAUAGAGAAAUAGAGACUUCAUCUGCUACCAAGUACAAGAUUGAAGAUUGGAAUUUAUUCAUAGAUUAUGUACAUUCCUUCUUCUCUCUCCAGGGCUGACUCCACUAGAAUAAUGUACUUAGUAACUUGCUUGGACAGUUACCAAAAUAGCACAUAGAAUUGAAUUGUUAGGUUUAUGUUGUAACCAAUUAAUGAAACACUGUCCUUAGGUAUCUAGGCUUUGGUAGAGUAAGGGAGUGAAUAUGGUGAAAUUAGAGAGGGUGGAGUAUAAUAUAUUUUGAAGGGAUUGUCAUUGAGGUGAAAAUUGAGUAUUGGGUUUACAGAUAUAUUUGAGCUAAAUGUGUUGGUGUAGGUGAACUCUAAAAUAAUCUGUAGCAGUAUGUUCUGAUGAAUGUAAUCUCUAGAAAGAAUACUACAGAUCUAACAAGCAUAAGAUAGAACUGUAUGUAUUGACCUGGAAAUCCAUGAUAAGUAUGGGAAAACAAAUCUGAAAGAAUAAAUUCCAAAUUGUUAGCAAUGUUUACUAGGAGGAGAUUUGGGAGCACUCUGCCUAUAGUCUCCAGAAAACCAGCAAACAAAUUCCUGCCAAAAGCUAUAUAAUUUCUCGAAGUUUAAUUAGGUUUUAAUUAAAUAUACUUAAAUCUUUGUAAUCAUUUCUCUACCUGAAGAAUUACUGUGUCACUUCUCAGCCUUUUGGCUAAGAUCAAGUGUAAUAUCUGUUUUUUCAGUUUAAUAUCUGAUAUGUCCUAAAUUAAAAAUAAUAAAAAAUAAAUAAAGGGGAGAUAAGAGAAACCAGAGAAUCCAUGGCCAUGUGAAAUAAAGCAUAGUACCUAUGCUAGAAAAGAGUGUGGUGCAGGCUGGGCAUGGUGGCUUAUGCCUGUAAUCCCAGCACUUUGGGAAGCCGAAGCCGGCGGAUCAUGAGGUCAGGAGAUUGAGACCACCCUGGCCAACAUGGUGAAACCCCAUCUCUACUAAAAUACAAAAAAUUAGCCGGGCGUGGUGGCGCGCUCCUGUAGUCCCAGCUACUCGGGAGGCUGAGGUAGGGGAAUUGCUUGAACCCGGGAGGCAGAGGUUGCAGUGAGCCAAGAUUGGGCCACUGCACUCCAGUCUGGUGACAGAGUGAGACUCCGUCUCAAAAACAAAACAAAACAAAAACAACAACAGAAUGUGGGGCAUUAUGUUUAAGAAUCUGACUCAGACCAGGCACGGUAGCUCAUGCCUAGAAUCCCACCACUUUGGGAGGCCGAGGCGGGGGGAUCACCUGAGCUCAGAAGUUUGAGACCAGCCUGGCCAACAUGGUAAAACUCCGUCUGUAUUAAAAAUACAGAAGAUUAGCCAGUUGUGGUGGUACAUACCUGUAAUCCCAGCUACUCAGGAGGCUGAGACAGGAGAAUCAUUUCAAGCCGGGAGGUAGAGGUUGCAGUAAGCAGAGAUCGUGCCACUUCACUCCAGCCUGGGCAACGAGCAAAACUCUGUCUCAAGAAGAAAGAAUCUGACUUGAUAUGUCCUUAUUCAUACCUUUCACCAAAUUAAAUUACAGGUUCAUUAGAGAUUUCAUGUAAAAUAUGAAACCAUAAAGUAUUAGAGGAAGACAUAGAGAAUAUUUUUGGGUUUUAUUUGUUUUAAUAAUCUUCAGGAGAGGAAGGCCUUUUUAAGUAUGACACAAUCCUGGAAGUCCCAAAAGAAAAGAUAUAUAAAUUUGGCCAGGCACAGUGACUCACACCUGUAAUUCCAGCACUUUGGGAGGCCGAGGCAGGUGUAUCACCUGAGGUUAGGAGUUCCAGACCAGCCUGGCCAACAUGGUGAAACCCUGUCUCUACUAAAAAUACAAAAAAAUUAGCUGAGCAUGAUGGUGGGCGCCUGUAAUCCCAGCUACUCGGGAGGCUGAGGCAGGAGAAUCGCUUGAACCUAGGAGGUGGAGGUUGCAGUGUGCUGAGAUCAUGCCACUGCACAACAGCUUGGGUGACAACAGCGAGGGAAACUCUGUCUCAAAAAAAAAAAAAAAGAUAUAUAAAUUUGACUGCAGAAAUAUAUUUUUACACGGAGGAAAAAAAAUCCCCAUAAGCAAAGUCAAAAGACAAGUGACAAACCAGGGAAAAAUAUUGGUAACUCAUCAAAA
ensembl:lncRNA